rnacentral:rRNA from 1 species
UGGUGGAGCGAUUUGUCUGGUCAAUUCCAAUAACGAACGAGACUCUAGCCUACUAAAUAGUUCGGGGAACCCCACAAAGGGGCCCCGCUUCAACUUCUUAGAGGGACAGGUGGCGUUUAGCCACACGAGAUUGAGCAAUAACA